rnacentral:lncRNA from 1 species
CCUCUCGGAGUUCCAGUGGCUUCUCCCCCCUCUGGCUCAGAGGCCCAGGAAAGAGAGAGAAGACCAACCAAGGGGUGGCUGGAGUCCCAAGGCCAUGAACUUUCAGGAAAAUGUGACCCUGGCCAUGGCCUUGUUCACCAUCCUGACCUCCAUCUAUUUCUUCAACAAGGCUCAGCAGUGAGAAGACACAGGACCUCCCCGCACAAGAGCCCUGCCUCUCCCUCUGCCAUCGCUCUGAGGCCAGAUAAAUCCCUCCAGUGGCCCUGUGCCCCCACCCAAGAUAAGAAUCCCAGGCCCUCCACUGAGCAUUGGAGGCUGCAUGUAACCUGACCCCCUCCAGGCUUAAAAAAAAAAAAAAAAUCUCACCCACCUCCCAUGCCCACCCUGGUGUAUUCUUGGCCACGGCGAACUCGAAGAUAGUCCCAAAUGCAGCACCACGCGUUUGCACUGCUGGGUCCCAGCCUGGAAUGCCCUUUCCCAUGUCUUUGUUUGUUUGAGA